ACAUGCAAGUCGAGCGGCAGCGCGGGGGCAACCCGUGGCGGCGAGCGGCGAACGGGUGAGUAAUGCAUCGGAACGUGUCCUUGAGUGGGGGAUAACCCGGCGAAAGCCGGGCUAAUACCGCAUAUGCUCUAUGGAGGAAAGCGGGGGACCUGGUAACGGGCCUCGCGCUCGGGGUAGCGGCCGUAUGUCCGAUUAGGUAGUUGGUGGGGUAAUGGCCCACCAAGCCGGCGAUCGGUAGCUGGUCUGAGAGGAUGAUCAGCCACACUGGGACUGAUACACGGCCCAGACUCCUACGGGAGGCAGCAGUGGGGAAUUUUGGACAAUGGGGGCAACCCUGUAUCCAGCCAUGCCGCGUGCGGGAAGAAGGCCUUCGGGUUGUAAACCGCUUUUAGUCGGGACGAAAGCGCCACGGAUAACACCCGGGGCG
rnacentral:rRNA from 1 species